UGGUCCCAAAAUUGGGGUGUAAAAAUUAAGAGCAAUGGAAGAAGAAAAAUAUUUGACACAAAUAAAUCCAAUGCAUUAUCCCCUAGUCUUCCAUAAAGAAUAAAUUCUUCAUAUAGAAGUUCUAGGUGUGGAAGAGCCUUCACGUAGAAGGACUCCUCCACUUCUGUGCCUACAAAAUCUCAAGAGCCAUUAGAUGGCACGU
rnacentral:lncRNA from 1 species